rnacentral:rRNA from 1 species
UACGUAGGGGGCGAGCGUUGUCCGGAUUUAUUGGGCGUAAAACGCUUGUAGGCGGCCACAUCGCGUCGGACGUGAAAUCUCCCGGCUCAACUGGGAGGGGUCGUGCGAUACGGAUGGGCUCGAGGCCGGUAGGGGGACGCGGAAUUCCCGGUGUAGUGGUGGAAUGCGUAGAGCUCCGGAGGAACACCAGUGGCGAAGGCGGCCGCCUGGGCCAGUCCUGACGCUGAGCCGCGAAAGCGUGGGGAGCGAUCCGG